AAUGAACGCUGGCGGCGCGCCUAAUACAUGCAAGUCGAGCGAGAAGACGUAGCAAUACGUUUGUAAAGCGGCGAACGGGUGAGGAAUACAUGGGUAACCUACCCUAGAGUGGGGAAUAACUAGCCGAAAGGUUAGCUAAUACCGCGUACGCUCCUUGGACUUCGGUUCAGGGAGGAAAGCGAUACCGAGGGUAUCGCGCUCUUGGAUGGGCUCAUGUCCUAUCAGCUUGUUGGUGAGGUAACGGCUCACCAAGGCUUCGACGGGUAGCUGGUCUGAGAGGACGAUCAGCCACACUGGCACUGCGACACGGGCCAGACUCCUACGGGAGGCAGCAGUAAGGAAUAUUGCGCAAUGGGCGAAAGCCUGACGCAGCGACGCCGCGUGGGGGAUGAAGGUCUUCGG
rnacentral:rRNA from 1 species